rnacentral:lncRNA from 1 species
UUGCCAAGUUUUUCAGGAAGUGCUAGUGGCCAUUUUGAUGAUGUGAACUAGACUUUAAAACAGAAAGAGGAAAAAUGAAUGUGGUGGACAAGGGCUGCUGACAAUAUUAGAUAGAAUCAGAGACGGAGUCUCACUAUGUUGUCCAGUCUGGACUCGAAGUCUUGGCCUCAAGCAACCCCCCUUGCGUCAGCCUCUGAAAAUGCUGGGAUUACAGGCAUGAGCUACCGUGCUUGCCUUCUCCUUCUCCUUCUCCUUCUCCUUCUCCUUCUCCUUCUGCUUCUCCUUCUCCUUCUCCUUCUCCUUCUCCUUCUCCUUCUCCUUCUUCUCCUCCUCCUCCUCCUCCUUCUUCUUCGUUGUUAAUUUUAGGUGCAGCAAUUCCAUUCAGGGGAUAAAAGAUUUAUUUUAUUUUAUCAUUUUUUAAAAUUUAUUUUUUCGAGAUGGAGUCUCGCUCUGUCUCCCAGGCUGGAGUGCAGUGGUACAAUCUCGGCUCA